AUGACAGCAGCUCUGUGGGGGCCAGUUUGGUGCCGCUGCCGGCGCCCCGUGGGUGGGUGCCGGGGCCACCCAGCUCCUGCUGUCCCUGCUGUGUCCCACCCCACGGCCGUCCCUCCCGCAGGUGAUCAAGAGGAGGAACGUCCGGAACGAGGACAGCUGCAAGAAGCCCGAGCGGCGCCGGCUGAAGACCACGCGCCUCAAGGAGUACACCAUCAAGUCCCACUCCAGCAUGCCCCCCAACAACACCUACAUCAACUUCGAGCGCUUCUCCAAGGUCAUGGAGGAGGUGGCCGCGGCCGAGGAGACCCUGCGGGAGCUGGAGAGGAACAAGAAGUCCUUCCAGGAGGACAUCGAGGCGCUGCGCUCCAUCUACGAGGAGAAGGAGUCGUGGUACAAGGAGGAGAACGAGAGCAUCAGCCAGGACCUGCGGCAGAUCCGGCAGGAGCUGCAGAAGACGGAGGCGCUGAAGAAGCAGGCGCAGGAGGAGACCAAGAGCGUGGUGCAGGCGGCCAACGGCCUCAAGCGGCGCUACCGCAAGCUGGAGAACCACUACGAGGCCCUGGCCAAGCAGGUGGCCUCGGAGAUGAAGUUUGUGGAGGAGCUGGUGUGGUCCAUCGAGCAGGAGAAGCAGAGCGGCGACGGCGACGGCAGCAUCCGCUAAGCCGGGCGGCUCCGGCCCUUCCCGACGCCCCGCUCGCCGAGGAGCCUCCGGUCGGUCAGUGUUCCCCGGCUCUGGGGGGGUGUGUGGGGGGGUUGUGCCUCCCUGGAGCCCCCACCUCGGGGGGCUGGGGCUGUGCUCCCCUGGGGUUUGGCUUCCUGCGUUGUGGCUCCUGCUUGGCUCAUGGCCCCGGGCUCCUCAUCACUCCCACUGUGCUUGGGGACACUUCUCGUCACUCCCACUGUGCUUGGGGACACUUCUCAUCACUCCCACCACACUUGGGGACACUUCUCAUCACUCCCACCACACUUGGGGACACUUCUCAUCACUCCCACCGUGCUUAG
rnacentral:lncRNA from 1 species